GGGAACGGUCAGGUCGAGGGU
rnacentral:siRNA from 1 species